AACAUCAUAAGCCAGACUGGGAAUACAGCUGUCGAAAACACUGAGGAAUCCAGAGCAACGAUGCUUGGAAGUCACCUAACAAAAGAAAUCUGAGUUCAUGUGAUGUCUUUUGGAGGAUGGUCUCCCUUCACAUGGAAAGGCGAUGGAGUGUUGGGGUGGAUGGUGUUCAGAGAACAGGGGGUUGUGCGGGGUUACAGUGACUAAAAACCCUAAGGAGAUUUCAGCAACCCAGAGUGGGGGUGGGUCUUAUCUCUCUCUGAUUAGCAGCAUGGAACUCCUCUUCACUCACGGAUUGAGUUUGCCACAUCUAGAUUAGCUUAGCUAUGAAACCCCCAUCACUCAAUAACUAGCACCUCUCUCAUUUGUGAUUCUUAAAAUGAAUGUAUGUGAUGAAUGUGUGUACAUGUUUUGAAGAACAAGAAGCCCACCCCCAUCAUAAGAGCAGAUGGUCAUAUGCAGAAGACGCUACUAAUGUCAAUGGCGACCCAAAUACACCUGUGUUUCUGUUUAUGCUUGUGUGAAUAUAUUUACAUUAAAGUCACAAGUCAAAAAAAACAAAGAUUCCUUGCUAAGCUCGUCUUACCAAUGAUACUGAUUACCUGAUAUUAGCAUUACCUUGGCAACCGUUGCUGGCCAUCAGUGUCAGACAAUUUGUUGAUGCCUAAAUUCCAUGUAAGUUCUGUGUGUUUGGAUAGUUUUAAUAAAGCAACAAGCUACCAAA